rnacentral:misc_RNA from 1 species
UACGUAGGGGGAGAGCGUUGUCCGGAAUCAUUGGGCGUAAAGAGCGUGUAGGCGGCCCUGUAAGUCGGAUGUGAAAGCCCGGAGCUCAACUCCGGAAUGUCAUUCGAUACUGCAGGGCUUGAGGCAGGUAGAGGAAAGUGGAAUUUCCGGUGUAGCGGUGGAAUGCGCAAAUAUCGGAAGGAACACCGAUGGCGAAGGCAGCUUUCUGGGCCUUGCCUGACGCUGAGACGCGAAAGCGUGGGGAGCGAACAGG